rnacentral:rRNA from 1 species
AUUGAACGCUGGCGGCAGGCCUAACACAUGCAAGUCGAACGGUAACAGGAAACAGCUUGCUGUUUCGCUGACGAGUGGCGGACGGGUGAGUAAUGUCUGGGAAACUGCCUGAUGGAGGGGGAUAACUACUGGAAACGGUAGCUAAUACCGCAUAACGUCGCAAGACCAAAGAGGGGGACCUUCGGGCCUCUUGCCAUCGGAUGUGCCCAGAUGGGAUUAGCUAGUAGGUGGGGUAACGGCUCACCUAGGCGACGAUCCCCAGCUGGUCUGAGAGGAUGACCAGCCACACUGGAACUGAGACACGGUCCAGACUCCUACGGGAGGCAGCAGUGGGGAAUAUUGCACAAUGGGCGCAAGCCUGAUGCAGCCAUGCCGCGUGUAUGAAGAAGGCCUUCGGGUUGUAAAGUACUUUCAGCGGGGAGGAAGGGAGUAAAGUUAGUACCUUUGCUCAUUGACGUUACCCGCAGAAGAAGCACCGGCUAACUCCGUGCCAGCAGCCGCCGUAA